rnacentral:rRNA from 1 species
AGAACGAACGCUGGCGGCAGGCUUAACACAUGCAAGUCGAACGCUCGUAGCAAUACGGGAGUGGCAGACGGGUGAGUAACGCGUGGAAACAUACCCUCCGGUUCGGAAUAGCUCAGGGAAACUUGGAUUAAUACCGGAUACGGCCGAGAGGCGAAGGAUUUAUCGCCGGAGGAUUGGCCCGCGUUCGAUUAGCUAGUUGGUGAGGUAACGGCUCACCAAGGCGAUGAUCGAUAGCUGGUCUGAGAGGAUGAUCAGCCACAUUGGGACUGAGACACGGCCCAAACUCCUACGGGAGGCAGCAGUGGGGAAUAUUGGACAAUGGGCGCAAGCCUGAUCCAGCCAUGCCGCGUGAGUGAUGACGGCCUUAGGGUUGUAAAGCUCUUUCGCUCGGACGAUAAUGACGGUACCUAGACAAGACGCCCCGGCUAACUUCGUGCCAGCAGCCGC